rnacentral:lncRNA from 10 species
UCAUUUAAUCACAAAAGAAGGAAUACCAGCAAGACCACCCAGGCCCCAGCUCCGGUUUUUCCUGAAGAAUUUGGCCGCAUCUCCCUUUUUGAAGGCAGAGUUUCAUCUUGGUUUUUGAAGGCGUCUCUCAUAAGAUGGCAUUUGAGCAGAGACCUGAGGAAGUGAAAGAUGGAGGGCUGAAGCUUCCAGUUAGAGGAACAAGCAAAGACCCCGAGCAGGAUCAGGUUUGAUGUCUUCAAGUAAUAUCCAGGAUGGGAUGAAGCUGCAGGGGAGUGAGCAAGGUGUAGACAGGUAGAAGGUGAGGUUGGAGGAGUGGGUGGACGGGGAGGAAUCAUCCCACAGGGCCUUGUACGCACUGCAAAAACUUUAGUCUUUUGCUCUAAGAAAUUAAGUCCGUUAAUUAAAAACAAAUGAACAGAAA